rnacentral:lncRNA from 1 species
GGAGGGGGAGGACCUCAAGGAGGUCGAGGCUGGGCUCCCCAGGGUGGACGUGGGGAUUAUGGAGGUGGACGUGGUGGUUAUGGUGGUGGUCGCGGUGGGCGUGGGAUUCCCCAACAACAGUAUGGUGGGCCUCCUGAGUAUCAAGGAAGGGGAAGGGGAGGACCUCCACAGUCACAACAGCAGUAUGGUGGCCCGCCUGAGUAUCAAGGCAGAGGCAGGGGAGGGCCUUCUCAGCAAGGAGGCCGUGGAUAUGGUGGUGGCCGUGGUGUAUACAGUGGUGGUGUGAGUGCUUCUGUUGGCCAUGACGUAGUUCCUUCAUAUGGCGGCCCACCGAGGCAACCAGUCCCCGAGCUGCACCAAGCAACCUCAGUUCCAUCUGCACCAUAUCAAGUUGUGGUGUCUCCUCCACCUGCACCCCAAUCUGAGGCAAGUUCUUCUCAGCCACCUGAAGUGUCAGAAGUGGGAGAGGAACUGGGACAGAUGACAAUUCAUUCUGAAGAUACUCCUGCUCCUCCUCCUGCAA